UGGGAAUCUUGGACAAUGGGGGCAACCCUGAUCCAGCCAUGCCGCGUGGGUGAUGAAGGCCUUAGGGUCGUAAAGCCCUUUCGCCGGGGAAGAUAAUGACGGUACCCGGUAAAGAAGCCCCGGCUAACCCCGUGCCAGCAGCCGCGGUAAUACGGAGGGGGCUAGCGUUGUUCGGAAUGACUGGGCGUAAAGCGCGCGUAGGCGGAUCAGGAAGUUGGGGUGAAAUCCCGGGGCUCAACCUCGGAAUGGCCUUCAAAACUCCUGGUCUUGAGUUCGAGAGAGGUGAGUGGAAUUCCGAGUGUAGAGGUGAAAUUCGUAGAUAUUCGGAGGAACACCAGUGGCGAAGGCGGCUCACUGGCUCGACACUGACGCUGAGGUGCGAAAGCGUGGGGAGCAAAACAGGAUUAGAUACCCUGGUAGUCCACGCCGUAAACGAUGAAUGCCAGACGUCGGGGGGCUUGCCCUUCGGUGUCACACCUAACGGAUUAAAGCAUU
rnacentral:rRNA from 1 species